rnacentral:rRNA from 1 species
UACGUAGGGGGCAAGCGUUGUCCGGAAUCAUUGGGCGUAAAGAGCGUGUAGGCGGUCCGGUCAGUCGGUUGUGAAAGUCAAGGGCUCAACCCUUGAAUGCCGGCCGAUACUGCCGGGCUAGAGUCCGGAAGAGGUGAGUGGAAUUCCUGGUGUAGCGGUGAAAUGCGCAGAUAUCAGGAGGAACACCGAUGGCGAAGGCAGCUCACUGGGACGUUACUGACGCUGAGACGCGAAAGCGUGGGGAGCAAACAGG